AGUUUUGUCAGAGAAGGGCAGUAUUGUAGCCAAUGAGAUUUAUCCGAGCCUCAGUUAUUGUUAAUUGAAAACUUUCCCCAAUACCCUGCCAUGAAGCCUUGAAAUAAAAGAUUUU
rnacentral:snRNA from 1 species